UUAAGCGACUAAGCGUACACGGUGGAUGCCCUGGCAGUCAGAGGCGAUGAAGGACGUGCUAAUCUGCGAUAAGCGUCGGUGAGGUGAUAUGAACCGUUAUAACCGGCGAUUUCCGAAUGGGGAAACCCAGUGUGUUUCGACACACUAUCAUUAACUGAAUCCAUAGGUUAAUGAGGCGAACCGGGGGAACUGAAACAUCUAAGUACCCCGAGGAAAAGAAAUCAACCGAGAUUCCCCCAGUAGCGGCGAGCGAACGGGGAGGAGCCCAGAGCCUGAAUCAGUGUGUGUGUUAGUGGAAGCGUCUGGAAAGGCGCGCGAUACAGGGUGACAGCCCCGUACACAAAAAUGCACAUAUUGUGAGCUCGAUGAGUAGGGCGGGACACGUGGUAUCCUGUCUGAAUAUGGGGGGACCAUCCUCCAAGGCUAAAUACUCCUGACUGACCGAUAGUGAACCAGUACCGUGAGGGAAAGGCGAAAAGAACCCCGGCGAGGGGAGUGAAAAAGAACCUGAAACCGUGUACGUACAAGCAGUGGGAGCCUCUUAAUGGGGUGACUGCGUACCUUUUGUAUAAUGGGUCAGCGACUUAUAUUCUGUAGCAAGGUUAACCGAAUAGGGGAGCCGAAGGGAAACCGAGUCUUAACUGGGCGUUAAGUUGCAGGGUAUAGACCCGAAACCCGGUGAUCUAGCCAUGGGCAGGUUGAAGGUUGGGUAACACUAACUGGAGGACCGAACCGACUAAUGUUGAAAAAUUAGCGGAUGACUUGUGGCUGGGGGUGAAAGGCCAAUCAAACCCGGGAGAUAGCUGGUUCUCCCCGAAAGCUAUUUAGGUAGCGCCUCGUGAAUUCAUCUCCGGGGGUAGAGCACUGUUUCGGCAAGGGGGUCAUCCCGACUUACCAACCCGAUGCAAACUGCGAAUACCGGAGAAUGUUAUCACGGGAGACACACGGCGGGUGCUAACGUCCGUCGUGAAGAGGAAACAACCCAGACCGCCAGCUAAGGUCCCAAAGUCAUGGUUAAGUGGGAAACGAUGUGGGAAGGCCCAGACAGCCAGGAUGUUGGCUUAGAAGCAGCCAUCAUUUAAAGAAAGCGUAAUAGCUCACUGGUCGAGUCGGCCUGCGCGGAAGAUGUAACGGGGCUAAACCAUGCACCGAAGCUGCGGCAGCGACACUAUGUGUUGUUGGGUAGGGGAGCGUUCUGUAAGCCUGUGAAGGUGUACUGUGAGGUAUGCUGGAGGUAUCAGAAGUGCGAAUGCUGACAUAAGUAACGAUAAAGCGGGUGAAAAGCCCGCUCGCCGGAAGACCAAGGGUUCCUGUCCAACGUUAAUCGGGGCAGGGUGAGUCGACCCCUAAGGCGAGGCCGAAAGGCGUAGUCGAUGGGAAACAGGUUAAUAUUCCUGUACUUGGUGUUACUGCGAAGGGGGACGGAGAAGGCUAUGUUGGCCGGGCGACGGUUGUCCCGGUUUAAGCGUGUAGGCUGGUUUUCCAGGCAAAUCCGGAAAAUCAAGGCUGAGGCGUGAUGACGAGGCACUACGGUGCUGAAGCGACAAAUGCCCUGCUUCCGGGAAAGCCUCUAAGCAUCAGGUAACAUCAAAUCGUACCCCAAACCGACACAGGUGGUCAGGUAGAGAAUACCAAGGCGCUUGAGAGAACUCGGGUGAAGGAACUAGGCAAAAUGGUGCCGUAACUUCGGGAGAAGGCACGCUGAUAUGUAGGUGAAGCGACUUGCUCGUGGAGCUGAAUCAGUCGAAGAUACCAGCUGGCUGCAACUGUUUAUUAAAAACACAGCACUGUGCAAACACGAAAGUGGACGUAUACGGUGUGACGCCUGCCCGGUGCCGGAAGGUUAAUUGAUGGGGUUAGCGGUAACGCGAAGCUCUUGAUCGAAGCCCCGGUAAACGGCGGCCGUAACUAUAACGGUCCUAAGGUAGCGAAAUUCCUUGUCGGGUAAGUUCCGACCUGCACGAAUGGCGUAAUGAUGGCCAGGCUGUCUCCACCCGAGACUCAGUGAAAUUGAACUCGCUGUGAAGAUGCAGUGUACCCGCGGCAAGACGGAAAGACCCCGUGAACCUUUACUAUAGCUUGACACUGAACAUUGAGCCUUGAUGUGUAGGAUAGGUGGGAGGCUUUGAAGUGUGGACGCCAGUCUGCAUGGAGCCGACCUUGAAAUACCACCCUUUAAUGUUUGAUGUUCUAACGUGGGCCCCUUACCGGGGUUGCGGACAGUGUCUGGUGGGUAGUUUGACUGGGGCGGUCUCCUCCUAAAGAGUAACGGAGGAGCACGAAGGUUGGCUAAUCCUGGUCGGACAUCAGGAGGUUAGUGCAAUGGCAUAAGCCAGCUUGACUGCGAGCGUGACGGCGCGAGCAGGUGCGAAAGCAGGUCAUAGUGAUCCGGUGGUUCUGAAUGGAAGGGCCAUCGCUCAACGGAUAAAAGGUACUCCGGGGAUAACAGGCUGAUACCGCCCAAGAGUUCAUAUCGACGGCGGUGUUUGGCACCUCGAUGUCGGCUCAUCACAUCCUGGGGCUGAAGUAGGUCCCAAGGGUAUGGCUGUUCGCCAUUUAAAGUGGUACGCGAGCUGGGUUUAGAACGUCGUGAGACAGUUCGGUCCCUAUCUGCCGUGGGCGCUGGAGAACUGAGGGGGGCUGCUCCUAGUACGAGAGGACCGGAGUGGACGCAUCACUGGUGUUCGGGUUGUCAUGCCAAUGGCACUGCCCGGUAGCUAAAUGCGGAAGAGAUAAGUGCUGAAAGCAUCUAAGCACGAAACUUGCCCCGAGAUGAGUUCUCCCUGACUCCUUGAGAGUCCUGAAGGAACGUUGAAGACGACGACGUUGAUAGGCCGGGUGUGUAAGCGCAGCGAUGCGUUGAGCUAACCGGUACUAAUGAACCGUGAGGCUUAACCU
rnacentral:rRNA from 1 species